rnacentral:rRNA from 1 species
GCCUACCAUGCAGUCGAGCGGUAACAUAUAGGUGCUUGCACCUUUGCUGACGAGCGGCGGACGGGUGAGUAAUGCUUGGGAACAUGCCUUGAGGUGGGGGACAACAGUUGGAAACGACUGCUAAUACCGCAUAAUGUCUACGGACCAAAGGGGGCUUCGGCUCUCGCCUUUAUAUUGGCCCAAGUGGGAUUAGCUAGUUGGUGAGGUAAUGGCUCACCAAGGCGACGAUCCCUAUCUGGUUUGAGAGGAUGAUCACCCACACUGGGACUGAGACACGGCCCACACUCCUACGGGAGGCAGCAGUGGGGAAUAUUGCACAAUGGGCGCAAGCCUGAUGCACCCAUGCCGCGUGUGUGAAGAAGGCCUUCGGGUUGUAAAGCACUUUCAGUCAGGAGGAAAGGUUACUCGUUAAUACCGGCUAGCUGUGACGUUACUGACAGAAGAAGCACCGGCUAACUCCGUGCCAGCAGCCGCGGUAAUACGGAGGGUGCGAGCGUUAAUCGGAAUUACUGGGCGUAAAGCGUACGCAGGCGGUUUGUUAAGCGAGAUGUGAAAGCCCCGGGCUCAACCUGGGAACUGCAUUUCAAACUGGCAAACUAGAGUGUGAUAGAGGGUGGUAGAAUUUCAUGUGUAGCGGUGAAAUGCGUAGAGAUCUGAAGGAAUACCGAUGGCGAACGCAGCCACCUGGGUCAACACUGACGCUCAUGUACGAAAGCGUGGGGAGCAAACAAGAUUAUAUACUCUGGUACUCCACGCCAUAAACGAUGUCUACUAGAAGCUCGGAACCUCGGAUCUGUUUUUCAAAGCUAACGCAUUAAAUACACCGCCUGGAGAGUACGGCCGCAAGGUUAAAACUCAAAUGAAUUGACGGGGGCCCGCACAAGCGGUGGAGCAUGUGGUUUUAUUUCUAUGCAACGCGAAAACCUUACCUACACUUGACAUACAGAGACUUACCAGAGAUGGUUUUGGUGUCUUCGGGAACUCAGAUACAGGUGCUG